rnacentral:rRNA from 1 species
AUUGAACGCUGGCGGCAGGCCUAACACAUGCAAGUCGAGCGAGCGGCGGACGGGUGAGUAAUGUCUGGGAAACUGCCUGAUGGAGGGGGAUAACUACUGGAAACGGUAGCUAAUACCGCAUACCAUCAGAUGUGCCCAGAUGGGAUUAGCUAGUAGGUGGGGUAACGGCUCACCUCGGCGACGAUCCCUAGCUGGUCUGAGGGGAUGACCAGCCACACUGGAACUGAGAACGGGUCCAGACUCCAACGGGAGGCAGCAGGGGGGAAUAUGGCACAGUGGGCGAAAGCCUGAUGUAGCCUGGCCGGGUGUGUGAAGAAGGCCUUAGGGUUGUAAAGCGUAUCAGCGGGGAGGCGUUACCCGCAGAAGAAGCACCGGCUAACUCCGUGCCAGCAGCCGCGGUAAUAC